rnacentral:rRNA from 1 species
UACAGAGGUCUCAAGCGUUGUCCGGAUUUAUUGGGCGUAAAGAGCUCGUAGGCGGCUUGUUGCGUCGACCGUGAAAACCCGGGGCUCAACUUCGGGCUUGCGGUCGAUACGGGCGGGCUAGAGUUCGGUAGGGGAGACUGGAAUUCCUGGUGUAGCGGUGAAAUGCGCAGAUAUCAGGAGGAACACCGGUGGCGAAGGCGGGUCUCUGGACAGUUCCGUGACGUGAGGCACGAAGGUCAGGGGAGCAAACGGG